rnacentral:rRNA from 1 species
CCUACGGGAGGCAGCAGUGGGGGAUAUUGCACAAUGGGGGGAACCCUGAUGCAGCGACGCCGCGUGGGUGAAGAAGCGCCUCGGCGCGUAAAGCCCUGUCAGCAGGGAAGAAAAUGACGGUACCUGAAGAAGAAGCCCCGGCUAACUACGGGCCAGCAGCCGCGGUAAUACGUAGGGGGCAAGCGUUAUCCGGAUUUACUGGGUGGAAAGGGGGCGCAGACGGCGAUGCAAGCCAGGAGUGAAAGCCCGGGGCCCAACCCCGGGACUGCUCUUGGAACUGCGUGGCUGGAGUGCAGGAGGGGAAGGCGGAAUCCCUGGUGUAGCGGUGAAAUGCGUAGAUAUCAGGAGGAACACCGGUGGCGAAGGCGGCCUGCUGGACUGCAACUGACGUUGAGGCCCGAAAGCGUGGGGAGCAAACAGGAUUAGAUACCCCUGUAGUC